AGUGAACGCUGGCGGUAGGCCUAACACAUGCCAGUCGAACGGCAGCACAGUAAGAGCUUGCUCUUACGGGUGGCGAGUGGCGGACGGGUGAGGAAUACAUCGGAAUCUACUUUUUCGUGGGGGAUAACGUAGGGAAACUUACGCUAAUACCGCAUACGACCUACGGGUGAAAGCAGGGGAUCUUCGGACCUUGCGCGAUUGAAUGAGCCGAUGUCGGAUUAGCUAGUUGGCGGGGUAAAGGCCCACCAAGGCGACGAUCCGUAGCUGGUCUGAGAGGAUGAUCAGCCACACUGGAACUGAGACACGGUCCAGACUCCUACGGGAGGCAGCAGUGGGGAAUAUUGGGCAAUGGGCGCAAGCCUGAUCCAGCCAUACCGCGUGGGUGAAGAAGGCCUUCGGGUUGUAAAGCCCUUUUGUUGGGAAAGAAAAGAAGCAGGUUAAUACCCCGCUGUUCUGACGGUACCCAAAGAAUAAGCACCGGCUAACUUCGUG
rnacentral:rRNA from 1 species